GCGCAGAUCACAUCUCUGGGUAUCAACUGCUUUGUGAGGAUGUGCACUAGAGGAAUCCGCCUAUCAGCACGUAGUUUAGGUCUUCAAACAUGGUCCAGACCUUUGGAUUGUGUUCCAUAUGCAAGGAUGAUACAGUAGUCCCUGUCAAAGCGUCCAUUGUUUGCAGACUGGAGAACCGCUGUAUGAAGAUGAAAGCAGCAUGUUUGAAAUGAGGCGAUCCGCUUCAGUGUCUCCUGGAAAGCCUCCAUGUAUUUUUGGAAUGUGGACACUCAUGUGAUAAACUACUUUUUGUGUUAAUUCCCAGAAUUCGUAUCCCCUAUUUUUCCACUGAAAUGUCAUCAUUUUGUGAUUUUGUAGAAAGUAUGAAAUAACUUUUUUUCUCAGAUAAACGAUAUAAAGUUAAGUAAAAAGUGACACAUUUUUAAUGGUAUAUCACAAAGUCAGUACCUCAUGAAACAUAUUUGGAGUUUUGACCUUCUCUUCCAACCCAUAAAUUACAACUUCAUGAAAUUUAUUUAUAAUAAUCAUUAUAAACAUAACAUUUUCUCUAAAACCUUCAAACUCGAUAAUUACUAUUCAAACUAAAAAUCAUAAAAUGAGAUAAAUUAUUAAGUAUCUUACUGAUUUGUGAAAAGUUACAGUUUCAUAUUUGGAAAUGUAAAAACAAAUCAGUUAGGUCGAGAAUAAACUGAAAACACCCAGAAGGAUUUGGUAAAUAAUUAUCAACGAAAAAUCCUAGAAUAAAAGUCUUUCAAAAUUGUUGUAUUUUUUCUGUGUAAAAUUGUACCAUCAUCAGGCUUUGCUUUUAGUUGUCCAGUCCUACCUUUUCUUUAUCUUUUGAUAUAAAAGCACCAAUAGAAAAGCACUGAGUCUCUCCUCCAAAUAAAGUGAAUAUUGGUGUUACCACCCAAGGAGGGGUUGUCUGCCCACUGCAUGACAUGCCUAUAGUCAAGAGACAAGGUGGUAGGAGGGAAAGAAUUUUAUUACAACUUGCUAGCAAGGGGGAAUAUGGCUGACUAAUGUCUGAAAGAAACAUCUUAAAGAACAAAGACUACAGGCAAAUUAUAUAGUGGGCUGGUCUCCAGGUGAGACAGACAUCUGCUCUUAGUUCCUGAUAAUCUUUUGUUUUACUAGACGUGCAUCAGAGACCAUCAGAGACCAGAGAAAUAUUCUAUACCCAGAUCUUUCCGUUGUUAUUGAUGAUGGCUAUCAGCAUAAACUCUCUGCAUGGGGGUCAUCACAUUCCUAAGGAACUCAAAAGAACAAAGUUAUCAACUUAUUGCAGCUAGGAGGGGCCAUAAAAUCUACAGAGCAUGCAUAUCUCCUGGAGAGUGAAUAUCCAGCUGGGUUAAUUAAUCAGGUGAUUCGAAGUUGCAAUAGGGUUUCUUUUUCUUUUUUUUUUUUUUUUCGCUUAAGGAAGAUUAGCCCUGGACUAACAUCUGUGCCAGUAUUCCUCCACUUUAUGUGUGGGUCGCUGCCACAGAAUGGCUGACGAGUGGUGUAGGUCCAUGCUCCAUAUCCGAACCCACAAACACAGACUGCCAAAGCAGAAUGCACUGAACUUAACCACUAUGCCACAGGGCUGGCCCCUACAAUAUAGCUUCUUUUCUACAAUAUGACUUUCCUUAUGUCAACCUUGUGUUGAGCUGGUAUCACUUGUUCUGAAGGAAUUCUAUAGAGACUAUUUACACCAAAUACUCCUCAAAGUAUAAUCAUUUUAAGUUUUACCUUAACUGUGUAGUUAAAGAUUGUUGCCUUUUAUUACCAGAAUAAAAGAUGAGUUUGAGAAAGAUUUGCUCUUCAGCCUAAAUUUAUAGCUAUUGCCAUACUAAUUCUGUAUAAUAAACCACCUGCAAAACUCAAUGACUCAUCAAUCACUUAUUCUCCCAGAUUUGUGAAUCUAUAGGUUGGUGUUUGCCUGAUCUUCAGCAGAGAAUCUGCUUCAGGCUGCAGUAAUGAGGCAGCUCUUCUCACUGCAUAUUGUUGAAUUGGUUC
ensembl:lncRNA